GUGCUCUCUUCAGCAGCACAUACACUUAAAUUGGAAGAAUACAGGGACGAUUAGCAUGGCCCCUGCAAAAGGAAGACAUGCAAAUUCUAAAGCAUUUCCUAUUUUAU
rnacentral:snRNA from 1 species